UUCGAUUAGUGCAGAAAGUGUUCUUGUACUACCGGCUUAGGUUCGAACCUGUGAGGUCACACGCUUAGAAGUUUCUGGAUUGAUCAAAUGGCUGAUUGACGAUUAAGAAUCGUCUAGAGGUAAAAUAGUCAAUGUGAUUGACUGAUUGCCCUAAGCAAUUAUUGCUUGGAGAAGUUAAUUGGUGAUUGGAUCACUGAUUAGACUCAAUUUGAUUGAGUAAUAGAGAUUGGGCUUGACCAAAUUCAAAUAUGAUUUGAAAUUGGUAAAACCGUAAUUGACACCAAAAUUGGUUUGGUGAAAAUGUCUAAUUUGCCCCAACCAAAUCAGAUUUGGCUUGAGUCAAAUUGGAUUGAAAUCAAUUAUGAUCCUAGUAUGACUAGGACUCCCUUCCCUCUGUAGGACCCACAUACUGUAUGUGGGACCCAGUCCUGCUUAGGUGGGACCCACAUACUGUAUUGGGGACCCACAUCCCGACCGCCUGCUCUUAAGCAUAUUCUUGCUUGCAUGUGUGACAUGUGGCGGGCCUGGACAUCUCACACUCCUUCUGAUGUCAUCCAUGACCUCAUCUACCUCAGGAGGUCAUCUAUGACAUCGCCCUCCAGGCCACCUCACCCCUUUACAUGCGUGACACGUGGCGAAGCAGGACACCUCUUUUCCUUGCAUGUGUGACAUGUGUCAUGGCAGGACACCUCAUAGGGACACCUCACCCUCUUCUUGGCCUAUAAAUAGGCCACCUAUCUUCCUUCUUCUCGACAUCAAGAGCACUAGAGAAAGAGAGUGAGAGGAGAGAGAAGUUCUAAAGGUGAAAGCCCAAGAAGGAGUUCUUGAGCUAUGAAGGUCCAUCUUCUUCCUUCUUCUCCCUUUUAGCCAACUUUCUGCCUCGCUGCGAGCUAGCACUCCCCAGAAAGCUGAUCUUUCCGGAGCUUCGCGUGGACGAGUCAUCGAGGCCGGACGCUUGUGCGGCUGCGAAGCAUCCUUGAAGGAAUCUCCUU
rnacentral:lncRNA from 1 species